rnacentral:lncRNA from 1 species
UAUUUAUUUAUAUUUUUAUUUGAGGUGGAGUUUUGCUCUUGUUACUCAGGCUGGAGUGCAAUGGCACGAUCUCGGCUCACCGCAACCUCUGUCUCCUGGGUUCAAGCAAUUCUCCUGCUUCAGCCUCCUGAGUAACUAGGACUACAGAGUCCAGAGUUGCUUCUGUUGACCAUAAUUUCCUGUGGUGCAGAGGGGCUACAAGUGUGACACAGAUUAAACUCUCUGUAGGAAGUCUCUGAUGGGAAAGAACAUGUUCAGCUUCCCACUGGGGUUGACAGAGCUGGUGCUCAGGUAAUCAACAUUUUGCUGAGCCUACGAGGAAGCAUUUGGGACAACUUCACAAUGCAUAUUGGUGCUUCUUCUUCCUGCUGCCUUGUGAAGAAGGUGCCUGGCUUGCCCUUCACUUUCUGCCAUGAUCAUAAGUUUCUUGAGGCCUCCUCAGCUAUGCUGAACUGAAUACAUUAAAAUUACUAUUAUGUCUCCCUGGAAUAUAAAAUUAUUUUUAAGGCAAUUAUUGGUAAGACCAACCUUGUCCAAAAAGUUAUCAUAAAUGUCCAAACACUGAGAUGUGGUAAUAUAAUGUUAUACCAACUUAGCUGAAUUGUAAAGACUAUGUAACCAGUUACAAAGAUCCUUAGAAAGAAUUAUGUUGUAACUAUGUGUGAGAAUGAAUAUAAAUCCACAAGGAUUGAGGGAAAAAAUAGAA